rnacentral:lncRNA from 1 species
CCCGGCCGGCCGCCCCACUCGCCGUCGCCCCUCGCCCCUCGCCAGUGCAGCAGCCGUUCCGCCUCCGGCCUCCCCAGUCCGCGACCCUCGCCCGUGCAGCAGCCGUUCGCCGCCGCAGCAGCCCGUGCAGCAGCCGUUCGCCCGUGUAGCAGCCUCCGAGCUCCGACGACAGGUGAGCUUCUUCUUGGAAGAAGAGAUGUUGCUGCCACCGGGGGCCAUUAGGGCACGGGGUCGCGCGAUAGGAGCGGCGAGAUCGGAGCAGAUCGAUGCGCUUCUAGAAGUUGCUAUCUUCGUCGCUUCAAUCGAAACAAAAAACAGAAAUUAAAAGAUGCGAGCAAACAACACAAUUACUCAAUUAAGGAACUUCACUCGAUGAGGGAAUUUACCUAAAAAAUCUUCAAUCGGAGUAGAUCCACCUGAUUAGGGUUCGUUCUUCA